rnacentral:rRNA from 1 species
GACAGAGGCCCCAAGCGUUAGGCGGAAUCACUGGGCUUAAAGCGUGUGUAGGCGGAUCGUUAAGUGUCUUGUGAAAUCCCACGGCUCACCCGUGGAACUGCUGGGCAUACUGGGGGUCUUGGGCCGUUCAGGGGCGACUGGAACAAGCGGUGGAGCGGUGAAAUGCGUAGAUAUCGCUUGGAACGCCGAAGGUGAAAACAGGUCGCUGGGGACGCGCCGACGCUGAGACACGAAAGCCAGGGGAGCAAACGGGG